CCACAUAGAACUAGAAAAAUAUAAACCUAUCAGAAAGUAAGCAGCUCCAGUUUUCUUUGUGUUAGGAAUUAUUUUAUAGAUCUUGCUUUGCCUUUAGCUGCAAAGCCUGAAAUUUAAAUUGCUGCAGGCUUCCUUGAUUUCCAUGGUUGAAAUAAAUGCUCUGUAUCAUUUUGCUAUUCAUGUCAUUACUCCCCGUAAUCACCACACUCAUCCCAGCACACUGUGUAGUGUGCUCAGUUGAAUAUCUCUGACUUUCAGGAGGCUUCCUGGCUGGCUGUUGUUUGUUUCUGAGGCUGCACAAUGACAUACUCUAUUGGGCUAAUUUGAUAGUUUGCAUUCCAGUUGCUGUGAGUUACGACUUGUGUUUUCUGUUUGCCAUGUAAAUGAAGAAUUGAAAUUUACAGGCAAUCAUUUGCUGCUGUGGUCUCUUCACCUGAAUUUACAGAUUGUGAUUAAUGGUCCAAAUUUGGUGAAAGUUCAGAACUUUCAUCCUUUUCCCCUCCCUCCCCACCUCUAUAAAAGUUAAUUGCUGCUGCUGCUGCAUAUUCAGCAGGGAGCUGGGAUGGAAAUGCAAGAGAGUUAAUUUCCUGCUGAAUAUGGGAGCACAUCACUGCUUGGACUGUCUUCCUGAGAUCAGAUUCAUGCACUCAAGCGUUCAUGUCCUUGCAUUCAUGGGGUGCCCGGUUAAUUUCCCGUGUGUGUGGCUGGAGCUGCUCCUCCUGAGCAGGGGGGGCAAACAGCAGAGCAGGGCUGGGAGCCAGCACAGGCUGAGCAGCGGGCUCAGUGCUGCCUAAAGUACACUCAGGAUUGUGAAACUGGACACCAGGUGUACUGGUGAGAGAAAACAAUCUGACCCCAAACGCUUCUGAACAUCCGCCAGGUUUGUACUGUGGUUUGAAAAAAGUUCCAGCCCACCAACCCCUUGACUCCUGCAUUGCCACGACAGCCUCAGACUGUGGCACAGGUAGCAGAAGCUCAGCAAGGUGAGGUGUUCAGAGGUCCGUAGAUCUGCAAAUUAAAUUGAUAUAAUGACAGGGGAGUGUCCCUCUUUGUGCUCCUGCAAUAGACAGAAGGCAGAAGGCACUGCAGAUGAUUCCCUGUGCUCCAUGCUGGACAAAGGUUGAUAAGGAGAGAAUGUAUUUUUUAGUAUAUUAACUUUCUGUGGCUGUGACUUACUUCACAAACAAGGUCUCAAAAGUCCCUUUAUUUCGAUAGGAACCCUUGGGAAGUAGAAUGUUUCUCAGUGUGAUGAGAAGUCUUGUGUGGCUUUUGCAGUUGUUCAUAUUGUGAGAGUUUGGGCAAUCAGUCUGUUCCCCAUGUCAGAAGAAUUCAGCACCUGCAAACCAGGUUUGAACUAAUAGUAAAGCCUUUCAUACCCAACAGAAAUUAUAUUUUAUUUCAAAACUCCAACAGCCAGAGAAAA